CUCCCCCUGCAGGACAGCGGGCUGUGUAGCACUCUGAUGUUUGAGACAGGCAUGCUGUCAUAACACUCAAACACGCCACAUUUUAUGCAGUAUGCAUUAAAAGCUUGUACCAUUUACAUUUUUACAUUAUAUUACAUUUAGCGGAUGGUUUUGUCCAAAGCAACUUACAAAUAAUUAUGUACAUUAGCAAAAGAGGACAUAGAAAUUCCAGACAAAUUUUUUUUGAAAGAACCUAAAUGAGGCUAAACGAGGAGGGGGAGCAGGAAAUGAAGUUAGAAGUUGUUAGUUUGUUAGAGGUGUUAGGAGAGUAAGUGCUCUUUGAAGAGCUCUGUCUUCAGGAGUUUAUUAAAGAUAGCGAGGGACGCUCCUGAUCUGGUAGUAGAAGGUAGUUAGUUAGAGGUGUUAGGAGAGUAAGUGCUCUUUGAAGAGCUCUGUCUUCAGGAGUUUAUUAAAGAUAGCGAGGGACGCUCCUGAUCUGGUAGUAGAAGGUAGUUUGUGUGCUAUAACCCUUUAGAAACCCAGUUAUUAUCUAAUAUUUAACAUACCUACAAAUGUUUAAUUACAUAAUGCAGGGUGUCCAAUCCUGCGUUGGAGCCACAGGUUUUUAUUACAGGCAAAUGUCAUGAACCGUUUAAAGACUGGCCUGUUGAUCACACUAUAAGAAUCAGGUGUGCUGCUGGUUGUUUGGAAUUAAAAUCUGCAGCCACACAGAUUCAUAAAGUUCAUAUUUAUGAAGUUUUAUAAGUUCAGAAAUCAAUAUUUGGUGGAAUAACCCUGGUUUUAAAAUCAAAGAAGCUCAUAAUUUUUAAUUGGUCUCCUUUUUUCCAGAGCUAUAUACAACAUAUACAUUUUGUAUAUAAUAAAAACAAAUACAUACACUUAACUUGUAUGUAUACAUACACUAUAACAUACAAUAUUGCACUGUUCAGUGUACCAAGGUAUAAUAUGUAAACAAGAAUAUUUAGAUGUUACAUUGCACACGACUGAAUCUAGAUGUAUGCAAUGUGGUGAGGGAGAUAAACCAGUAGAUGCAGUGUAAUUGUGAUUAAACUAACUCAUGGGUAACUGUCUCAUUCUGUAAGGUUUUUACAUUUAUUUUAAUGACCAAAGACAUAGAAAAUGCUUCUAGCUUCUCGACCUGGAUUCCAUGUGAACGUCUGCACGUGUUUUCGCUCUGCCUCAGUCCCCGUGUCCUCUCUGU